ACGCCGGGUCUGGGCGGGGCCGCGUGCGAACCACGCCCCGCACCCCCACGCAUGCGCGCGCAGGCGUACUGGUCCGCCGCCCCGCCCCGCCCACCGCCCGCCGGAGGUAGCCGUUGGGAGGCGGUUGGGCGGGGCAACGGCCGCCGCUUGGAGGCCCCGCCCCCGGCUGGGCCCUGGGGAGCUGAGGUUUCCGACGGAAACGGGCGGUGCGCGCCGAGUCCUUGAACCUGGGCACUCCGGUCGGCCGCCUCAGGGUUGGCGGCGGAAGGACUCUUCGUUGGGGAGAAAAGCCUUCCCCGCACCGAAGGAGGAAGACCUAGAUUUAAAACAGGAGCGAGGCAGCUGAUGAGAACCACACACGCGCCUUGGAUCUGUGCUACACCUUAGCUGCGGGAACACUCCUACGGAUCCCUUUCAUUCACCUUUAAUUCUUUGGAAGGCAGACCAGAUGGUCUUGCCGACAGACAGUUUGGAUCUUCUUGCCCCCUGCUCUAAAAACUCAGGGACCUCGGCUCACGUAAACCCCUGGCCUUGUGAGCCACGCCCCCUCACCGGCACACACAUCACAUGCUACAAUGUGACACACAUAAACGGCCCAUCUUCCCGACCAGCCUUAUUCCUCACCAUCCCUAAGUGGGUUUUCUCCACUCCUGCACACUGGUCACCUAGCUAUCCAACCAGGUGGCCUGGCCCUUGCUUCUCAGAGGAGUGACCUGGCUAAAGUCACAUGACUGGAUUUUAGACAGGAUUACGACUGCAGCCCAAAGCUCAGGGGUCCCAGACUGGCAGAGAAACGCAUGAACCAAAUCAGCUGCAAGCCACUUCCCCAAGGAGCAGACAAGGGCCAAGGGACUGAUGUCAGAAAGCAACCAGGAGCAGACAGGAGCCACAGUCAAAGGCCCAAACUGGCCAAUGGAAUGUGUCAGAAACAAAGGCACAGUGUUGUGCCUCAACCCAGAAAGCAAUGCGAUGCUCUAGAAAACACGCCCUACAAAUACUGCAGGCUAUAUAUACAGAGAGGAGUGUCAAGUCCUGACGAGACCGGGUCCUGAGCCAUCGCUGUCACAGACGGAGAAACUGAGGCACUAACAGGACCAAUGACCUCUCCCCAACAUCACUGGCACGUGAGGGACAAGGGAACGACUCGGAGCGCAGGCCCACGAUCCCCUCCCCGCCGUUCCCAAACCCCAUAGCUCAAAAAGCCCAAAGAAUUUCUUUAAGUUUGCGCCAGGCCCGUGUGGUUGACAAAGGCUGUCUGAGGCCAUUCCACCUUUGUCUGUCCAGCUCUGUGUGAAUGUUACGAAGUCUGGCUACAGAAGUGUUACUUUUUGAUGAGGGAGCGCGGCCAGCCCAGAUACCUCGGGGUAUCGUGUCACGUAUAGGACACGCUGCUGGAAAGUGCAAGUUCUGAAUCCGGAGUUGGCUCGGGUGCCCCGGGCCUCCGGACACGUCUUAUGGAUAAGGGUGGCCUGAGAUCCACGUCAGCGAGCAGGUGGAAUGAGCCCAAAUAAAGGUGUUUGGGGGCGGGCGGGGGGUGGGGGGGGAGCAGUGCAGCAGCACAGGAGAAGGGCCAGGGGACGAGGCUUCACGUCAGCUCUGCUGAGGACACCGGGAGACCUUGGGCAAGUCACUUCCCUGGAUAGGCCUUCAAUUUCCUCAUCGGGAAAAACGGGAUGACGGCGAUCCUUUGGACACCCCUCGUUGAGCCAAAGCA